rnacentral:ncRNA from 1 species
UAGUCCGACUCGAAGGUCCCCGAUUCACAGGCGGGCCACGAGAAGACCAUGACGUCGAUCCUCCCCGCAUUCGCUGGAGCGAACACCCUCUACGGUGCCG